CAGUUCGGACUGAAGGCUGAAAUUGCCUUCACGAAGUCGGAAUUGCUAGUAAUGGCAGGUCAGCAUACUGCCGUGAAUACGUUCCCGGGCCUUGUACACACCGCCCGUCACACCAUGAGAGUUAGGAAUACCCGAAGCCUGUGAGCUAACUUUUAGAGGCAGCAGUCGAAGGUAGAACUAAUGAUUGGGGUGAAGUCGUAACAAGGUAAC
rnacentral:rRNA from 1 species